UCGAGAAUCUUCGGCAAUGGGCGCAAGCCUGACCGAGCGACGCCGCGUGUGCGAUGAAGGCCUUCGGGUUGUAAAGCACUGUCGAGGGGAAGAAAGGGAAACUUGAUCGACCCCUGGAGGAAGCACGGGCUAAGUUCGUGCCAGCAGCCGCGGUAAGACGAACCGUGCGAACGUUGUUCGGAAUCACUGGGCUUAAAGGGCGCGUAGGCGGUCGGCCAAGUCAGGGGUGAAAUCUUUCGGCUCAACCGGAAAAGUGCCCUUGAUACUGGUCGGCUAGAGUGAGGUAGGGGCACGCGGAACUUCCAGUGGAGCGGUGAAAUGCGUUGAUAUUGGAAGGAACGCCGGUGGCGAAAGCGGCGUGCUGGACCUCUUCUGACGCUGAGGCGCGAAAGCCAGGGGAGCAAACGGGAUUAGAUACCCCCGUAGUCC
rnacentral:rRNA from 1 species